AUGAAAGGAUCAAUUCCCACUGCAUUUACAUCUCUUAAGUUCACUGGAAUACUGGCGUCAGAAAUAUAGGAUUCAUCUUCUACAACAGCCUUAUUGCUACUGAGGAAUGCAUUAGCCUUAGUUCCUGUGAUACCUUGCUGAUUGCUCAGUAAACUUACACUGACAAGCUUUUAUCUCCAGUUUCUGAAGAUAAUUGUCUGUUUACAUGAAACAAACAAAAAUAAAUCACACCUAUUGAGUCACUCGCUGAGAUGAUCCAUUGGUGGAGUAACUGAGACUGUGGUUGUCUCAGGGGUGCUCGUGACGAUGGACUCUGAAAAAGCUUCUGGAGUGACUACACUGUCCACCGUUGGUUCAGUGGCAGGAGUUGGUGUAGGUUCAACAGUAGCGAUUGUAUUGAUGGAAUUUUGAUUCUUCAAGGAAGUGGAU